UUGCAUUUUUGUAACUUUCAUUAUAUACUUCAAUGAUUGCAUCAUUUUGGGGAAUAACUCAAUAUGAUUUCUAGAUAAAAACUACGAUUUAAGAAAAAUAGAAUUACUUUGGAUACCUUGGUUGUUUGCUCCGAUACGCAUCUGAAACAUAUCAUUUUUUAUCUUAUAAGUGUACUAAAAUUGGUCUAAAUAAUGUGUUUUUCAAUGAUCUUGAUUGCAAAUAAAUGGUUCUAAACAUAUGAUAUUAUUUUGAUAUUAAAAAAAUUUAUGGUACUUCAUAUAUACAUUGCUGAAAAGCUAUGACUAAGAAAUUAAUACUUUGAAUAUACACUCCUACAUAAUUAAAUGCUUCUAUCAUUAAAAGGAAAAGCUAUUUUUAAGAAGAGAGUUAAUGAUCCUAAAACUUAGAAUAUUUCAACUCACUUCAAUAAUUCUUAUAGGAAAGAAAAUGUAAUUACUUUUGAAAGAAAUUUGAGCUUCAAAAGAAUUAUUUUCUGAUUAAUAUUUCCAUACAUAUUCAAAAAAAAAUAAGAGGAAAUAUAAUUUAUUUUGAAAGAUUAAAAAGAGUGAUUGUAUAAAUUUUGAAAAAUUCUGGAUCACUCUACAUUCUUGAUAUUAUAGAAGAACAAAAAAAAAAAGGUUUGAAAGACAAUGCAUCUUUUGAGGGGGAGCUUUAAAUACUCAAUCUCUUUAUUGAAAAUUAUCUUCAAACUCUAAACUCUCAAAUGGAAUGAUUAAUUAAGGGGGAGAAAGAAAAUUUCAGAGUGAGAGAUCAUAUAGAACUUAAUCGUAUAAAUUCACAUCUAAAGAUGAGACAAAGAAUACUAAAUGUAAAGUGGUAUUAAACUUUGUGCUUCAUUGAAUAUCUUUUGAAAGUUGGAUUUCCAUCUAUAUUCAUCGGUAAAUCAUUUAUUUCUGAAAAUUAAUUGAAAGUUGGAUUUCCAUCUGUAUUCAUCGGUAAAUUAUUUAUUUCUGAAAAUUAAUUGAAAAGGAUUCCAUCUGUCUUAGUUUCGAAAAUUUAUCUUAGAAUCUACUUAUGAGUUCUUAUUGGCUUGCACUUUAUGUUUCAAUCCUGAGCCAAUUCAUUUUAAUUGAUUUUGAUGCUAUGAUCUUUAAUGGAGUAGAAGAAAGUCUUUAAGAGAGCUCUAAAAGAACUUUCAAAGUCUUGAAUUUUAUGUAUCCUACACUGCAUAAAUUCAUGUUUUGGUAUCUAUGCCCCAAUACUUUUAUAUCAUGAAAGAACUUUGAAGUCAUUAAGAAUUAAGGGUUCAAUAUAAUCUUAUGUUUUUCGAGUAUAUAAGGUUUGAUCUUUAUUUGCUCUUAUACUAUACUCUGAAAAUUAAUUAGAUUGCUCUCAUCUUGCUAUAUACUUAAUAUAUAUAUAUAUAAAGGUGUUGAAUUUUCAUUCAUGCCUUCUUUGAAUAUUAUUCUU
rnacentral:lncRNA from 1 species